CUUGGCGGCUGCCCUUUUUAGAAAUAUCCUCCUACAUUUCAGCAAACUUUCCCUUCUUCCUUUCUUUUAAAGAUUCAAGGCAUCAUCAAGCAGCUUUUCCAUCUUCGAAGCUUCUUACUUUUUGAAGAUCUUCCCUAUCUCUCGCACACUUCUUCUUAUUCCUUUAUUUCGGGUCCUUAGGUGAUGCGCUGGAGAUUGCUUGGAAGAGUGUAGUGGUUAUCUAGAACCGUUGUUGGGUUCUUAUUUGAACUAGUGUUUUAAAACUAUAAUGGGAUUUUGUACUUUAUGAUUCCGCUAAUAACUUAAACUAUGUUUUAAGACUUGAAUGUUUUGUCACUAAUCAUAUUAGUGGUAAUGGUUUUACUUUA